CAGCAGUAACUGUGAAUAUAGGAAUUUUAUAGAAAUGUCUCAACAUUUAUUCCCCCGAUAUAAAAUCAGAUGUGUAAAGUUUAGACAAACCAAGCAAGUGGAGGGCAAUUUGGCUAUUUUGGCUGACAUUUUUCUGUUUAGUAAAUAGGCUCCUUAGUUGUGAUCACUGAUUAAAGUUAGAAACUGCAGGUAACUCCCAAAUCAAAGUAAGGGUGCUCACUAUGAAUGCCCUGUUCUGUCAGGGUCAAAAAUUAUGUGUCACAACAUAUGUCAAAAGCACAACCUAUAUAUUCAAAAAUUAUUAUUUGCAAUUCAACAGACAUAUAAAACCAAACCGAAACAACCCCCAUAAGAUUCAUAUCUAUCUCAAAUACCAGACAUAUAUAUGUCAAAACAGAUACAAGGAAGUUAUUUAAGCCAUUCAUAGAAGUAUAGAAUGUGACAGCAGAUAAGAACCAUGCGGCCCAUCUAGUCUGCCCAAUUUUCUAAACGCUUUAAUUAGUCCCUAGCCUUAUGCCUAUCCCACGCAUGCUUAAACUCCUUUACUAUGUUAACCUCUACCACUUCAGCUGGAAGGCUAGUCCAUGCAUCCACUACCCUCUCAGUAAAGAUACUUCCUGAUAGUCUUUAAUUAGAGGGACAAAAGUUUAAAAACAAUAGGUCCUCUUGUUGUGGUAGUUUUUCUUUUAAUUAUACUCUCCUC